AGACAGCGAGCAUCUGAUCAGCCCAGAUGUAGAAGCUUCCGCCCCGCCCCGGUCCUCAUUAACACAGCAGCGGCAAGUCUCAGAAGACCUAACCCGCGCCGUGCCAAAAACUGACCUGCUCGACGUGUCCGCUGAGAAGUCGAAAGGUCAGCUGGCGACUCAGCGUAGCCUAUCAGCCCGAAAUUUGCCUUCGAAGAAGAAGUCGACGACUUCGGUG